rnacentral:rRNA from 1 species
UACGUAGGGUGCAAGCGUUAUCCGGAAUUAUUGGGCGUAAAGAGCUCGUAGGCGGUUUGUCGCGUCUGCUGUGAAAACCGGAGGCUCAACCUCCGGCCUGCAGUGGGUACGGGCAAACUAGAGUGCGGUAGGGGAGAUUGGAAUUCCUGGUGUAGCGGUGGAAUGCGCAGAUAUCAGGAGGAACACCGAUGGCGAAGGCAGAUCUCUGGGCCGUAACUGACGCUGAGGCGCGACAGCGUGGGGAGCAAACAGG